GGGUUGUGAGGUUAAGCGACUAAGCGUACACGGUGGAUGCCCUGGCAGUCAGAGGCGAUGAAGGACGUGCUAAUCUGCGAUAAGCGUCGGUAAGGUGAUAUGAACCGUUAUAACCGGCGAUUUCCGAAUGGGGAAACCCAGUGUGUUUCGACACACUAUCAUUAACUGAAUCCAUAGGUUAAUGAGGCGAACCGGGGGAACUGAAACAUCUAAGUACCCCGAGGAAAAGAAAUCAACCGAGAUUCCCCCAGUAGCGGCGAGCGAACGGGGAGCAGCCCAGAGCCUGAAUCAGUGUGUGUGUUAGUGGAAGCGUCUGGAAAGGCGCGCGAUACAGGGUGACAGCCCCGUACACAAAAAUGCACAUACUGUGAGCUCGAUGAGUAGGGCGGGACACGUGGUAUCCUGUCUGAAUAUGGGGGGACCAUCCUCCAAGGCUAAAUACUCCUGACUGACCGAUAGUGAACCAGUACCGUGAGGGAAAGGCGAAAAGAACCCCGGCGAGGGGAGUGAAAAAGAACCUGAAACCGUGUACGUACAAGCAGUGGGAGCCUCUUAAUGGGGUGACUGCGUACCUUUUGUAUAAUGGGUCAGCGACUUAUAUUCUGUAGCAAGGUUAACCGAAUAGGGGAGCCGAAGGGAAACCGAGUCUUAACUGGGCGUUAAGUUGCAGGGUAUAGACCCGAAACCCGGUGAUCUAGCCAUGGGCAGGUUGAAGGUUGGGUAACACUAACUGGAGGACCGAACCGACUAAUGUUGAAAAAUUAGCGGAUGACUUGUGGCUGGGGGUGAAAGGCCAAUCAAACCGGGAGAUAGCUGGUUCUCCCCGAAAGCUAUUUAGGUAGCGCCUCGUGAAUUCAUCUCCGGGGGUAGAGCACUGUUUCGGCAAGGGGGUCAUCCCGACUUACCAACCCGAUGCAAACUGCGAAUACCGGAGAAUGUUAUCACGGGAGACACACGGCGGGUGCUAACGUCCGUCGUGAAGAGGGAAACAACCCAGACCGCCAGCUAAGGUCCCAAAGUCAUGGUUAAGUGGGAAACGAUGUGGGAAGGCCCAGACAGCCAGGAUGUUGGCUUAGAAGCAGCCAUCAUUUAAAGAAAGCGUAAUAGCUCACUGGUCGAGUCGGCCUGCGCGGAAGAUGUAACGGGGCUAAACCAUGCACCGAAGCUGCGGCAGCGACACUAUGUGUUGUUGGGUAGGGGAGCGUUCUGUAAGCCUGCGAAGGUGUACUGUGAGGUAUGCUGGAGGUAUCAGAAGUGCGAAUGCUGACAUAAGUAACGAUAAAGCGGGUGAAAAGCCCGCUCGCCGGAAGACCAAGGGUUCCUGUCCAACGUUAAUCGGGGCAGGGUGAGUCGACCCCUAAGGCGAGGCCGAAAGGCGUAGUCGAUGGGAAACAGGUUAAUAUUCCUGUACUUGGUGUUACUGCGAAGGGGGGACGGAGAAGGCUAUGUUGGCCGGGCGACGGUUGUCCCGGUUUAAGCGUGUAGGCUGGUUUUCCAGGCAAAUCCGGAAAAUCAAGGCUGAGGCGUGAUGACGAGGCACUACGGUGCUGAAGCAACAAAUGCCCUGCUUCCAGGAAAAGCCUCUAAGCAUCAGGUAACAUCAAAUCGUACCCCAAACCGACACAGGUGGUCAGGUAGAGAAUACCAAGGCGCUUGAGAGAACUCGGGUGAAGGAACUAGGCAAAAUGGUGCCGUAACUUCGGGAGAAGGCACGCUGAUAUGUAGGUGAAGUCCCUUGCGGAUGGAGCUGAAAUCAGUCGAAGAUACCAGCUGGCUGCAACUGUUUAUUAAAAACACAGCACUGUGCAAACACGAAAGUGGACGUAUACGGUGUGACGCCUGCCCGGUGCCGGAAGGUUAAUUGAUGGGGUUAGCGGUAACGCGAAGCUCUUGAUCGAAGCCCCGGUAAACGGCGGCCGUAACUAUAACGGUCCUAAGGUAGCGAAAUUCCUUGUCGGGUAAGUUCCGACCUGCACGAAUGGCGUAAUGAUGGCCAGGCUGUCUCCACCCGAGACUCAGUGAAAUUGAACUCGCUGUGAAGAUGCAGUGUACCCGCGGCAAGACGGAAAGACCCCGUGAACCUUUACUAUAGCUUGACACUGAACAUUGAGCCUUGAUGUGUAGGAUAGGUGGGAGGCUUUGAAGUGUGGACGCCAGUCUGCAUGGAGCCGGCCUUGAAAUACCACCCUUUAAUGUUUGAUGUUCUAACGUUGGCCCCUGAUCGGGGUUGCGGACAGUGUCUGGUGGGUAGUUUGACUGGGGCGGUCUCCUCCUAAAGAGUAACGGAGGAGCACGAAGGUUGGCUAAUCCUGGUCGGACAUCAGGAGGUUAGUGCAAUGGCAUAAGCCAGCUUGACUGCGAGCGUGACGGCGCGAGCAGGUGCGAAAGCAGGUCAUAGUGAUCCGGUGGUUCUGAAUGGAAGGGCCAUCGCUCAACGGAUAAAAGGUACUCCGGGGAUAACAGGCUGAUACCGCCCAAGAGUUCAUAUCGACGGCGGUGUUUGGCACCUCGAUGUCGGCUCAUCACAUCCUGGGGCUGAAGUAGGUCCCAAGGGUAUGGCUGUUCGCCAUUUAAAGUGGUACGCGAGCUGGGUUUAGAACGUCGUGAGACAGUUCGGUCCCUAUCUGCCGUGGGCGCUGGAGAACUGAGGGGGGCUGCUCCUAGUACGAGAGGACCGGAGUGGACGCAUCACUGGUGUUCGGGUUGUCAUGCCAAUGGCACUGCCCGGUAGCUAAAUGCGGAAGAGAUAAGUGCUGAAAGCAUCUAAGCACGAAACUUGCCCCGAGAUGAGUUCUCCCUGACUCUUUAAGGGUCCUGAAGGAACGUUGAAGACGACGACGUUAAUAGGCCGGGUGUGUAAGCGCAGCGAUGCGUUGAGCUAACCGGUACUAAUGAACCGUGAGGCUUAACCUUACAACGCCGAAG
rnacentral:rRNA from 1 species